rnacentral:rRNA from 1 species
GUGGGGAAUUUUGGACAAUGGGCGCAAGCCUGAUCCAGCAAUGCCGCGUGUGUGAAGAAGGCCUUCGGGUUGUAAAGCACUUUUGGCAGGAAAGAAAUAGUGCGUGCUAAUACCAUGCGCGAAUGACGGUACCUGCAGAAUAAGCACCGGCUAACUACGUGCCAGCAGCCGCGGUAAGACGUAGGGUGCAAGCGUUAAUCGGAAUUACUGGGCGUAAAGCGUGCGCAGGCGGUUUUGUAAGACAGGUGUGAAAUCCCCGGGCUCAACCUGGGAACUGCACUUGUGACUGCAAGGCUAGAGUGUGUCAGAGGGAGGUGGAAUUCCGCGUGUAGCAGUGAAAUGCGUAGAGAUGCGGAGGAACACCGAUGGCGAAGGCAGCCUCCUGGGCCUGCACUGACGCUCAUGCACGAAAGCGUGGGGAGCAAACAGGAUUAGAUACCCGGGUAGUCC